rnacentral:rRNA from 1 species
UACGUAGGGGGCAAGCGUUGUCCGGAAUCAUUGGGCGUAAAGAGCGUGUAGGCGGCCCGGUAAGUCCGCUGUGAAAGUCCAGGGCUCAACCCUGGGAUGCCGGUGGAUACUGUCGGGCUCGAGUCCGGAAGAGGAGUGUGGAAUUCCUGGUGUAGCGGUGAAAUGCGCAGAUAUCAGGAGGAACACCAAUGGCGAAGGCAGCACUCUGGG